rnacentral:tRNA from 1 species
UUUUGUAGUUUAAAAAAAACAGUAUAUUUUCAAUAUAAAAAUAUUUUUUCAAAAGUUUCCACUA